CUAAUGUCUCCAGGGUCUGCU
rnacentral:siRNA from 1 species